rnacentral:rRNA from 1 species
UACGAAGGUGGCGAGCGUUGUUCGGAAUUAUUGGGCUUAAAGCGCACGUAGGCGGACUUGUAAGUGUCUUGUGAAAUCCCACGGCUUAACCGUGGAAUGGCUCGGCAUACUACAAGUCUUGAGAUAUGUAGGGGCAAGCAGAACUCUUAGUGGAGCGGUGGAAUGCGUAGAUAUUAAGAGGAAUGCCAGUGGUGAAGACGGCUUGCUGGGCAUAUUCUGACGCUGAGGUGCGAAAGCGUGGGGAGCGAACGGG